UACGGAGGAUGCGAGCGUUAUCCGGAUUUAUUGGGUUUAAAGGGUGCGCAGGCGGCACGGCAAGCCGGCGGUCAAAUCGCGGGGCUCAACCCCGCCCAGCCGUCGGAACUGCCGGGCUAGAGUGGGCGAGAAGUGCGCGGAAUGCGUGGUGUAGCGGUGAAAUGCAUAGAUAUCACGCAGAACUCCGAUUGCGUAGGCAGCGUACCGGCGCCCUACUGACGCUGAAGCACGAAGGCGUGGGUAUCGAACAGG
rnacentral:rRNA from 1 species